GAUGAACGCUAGCGGCAGGCCUAACACAUGCAAGUCGAGGGGCAGCACGUCUUCGGAUGGUGGCGACCGGCGCACGGGUGCGUAACGCGUAUGCAACCUACCUCUUACAGUGGGAUAGCCCAGAGAAAUUUGGAUUAAUACCGCAUAGUAUACAGAUUCAGCAUUGGGACUGUAUUAAACAUUUAUGGGUAAGAGAUGGGCAUGCGUUCUAUUAGUUAGUUGGAGUGGUAACGGCACCCCAAGACAGCGAUAGAUAGGGGCCCUGAGAGGGGGAUCCCCCACACUGGUACGUGAGACACGGACCAGACUUCCUACGGGAGGCAGCAGUGAGGAAUAUUGGACAAUGGGCGAGAGCCUGAUCCAGCCAUGCCGCGUGCAGGAAGACGG
rnacentral:rRNA from 1 species